UGCAAGGAAAUGCAUUCAAGGAUAAAAGUAAGAGAUAUGCUUUUAUUAAUAGUACAAUUUGGAAAUACAUGGAUAAUUACAUAAGUGAAAGAGACAACACUCACACCUACAUGACACUUUUCAUCCUACCAACUCUAUUAAGCAAGACUAGGAGUUGGCUAAAUUAGUAUGGGAACCCUUUCCCUUUCUCCUUCCUCCUACCUCUCAAUUCUUGCUUCCAUAAAGCUCCAAGGAGGCAGCUAGUGUACCUACAAUAUUACACCAAAAAGGUAUCAAAAUUUUUGUCACAUAAGAAGGGAGAAAAGAGACACAAGCUCAUUUAAGGAAGGGGAGAAAUAGGCAGCCAAGGGGCUAGGGUUUCCAGCUGUGAUGAUAGCCACAUUUUGUCCCUUUUCAACUUACACCAUUUAGGGACAAAGCCAAACUGUCCCAGAGUAAGCAAACCAAGCCACAGGCCGAAAAGAGAUGGAGGGAUAGAGCCCUUAUCGAGGCUCAAGGAACAGCCAAGAGAAGGAUCUUCCUUCCCCAAAAUUAUCACCAAUAAGGAAUGAACGACAGCAUCACAAAACUCAAAAAGGAAGCCAACACUGCAGCCUCAAAAUAGAAAUUGGAGCUCUCCAAUGCCUUACACCAAUUUAGUAGUGAAGCUUUAAGCCCAAAAUCAAAAAGAAGAGAGAAUCUUUAACCCAAAUUAGCCACAAAAUGCCAAGGAGUUAGGCUAUAAAUACCAGCCCCACCACCAUCUCCUUCCUCACACCUCUCUAUAUUCACAAGACACAAGAAGCGCAACAAGAGAGGAAGGAGCAAGGAGGGCAGCCGCAUAAACCAAAGGAGCCAUCCAAACUAAGGUUGAGCAGUGAUGACGACGGGCGGUGUUGAGCAUAGACGAUGAAGAUCCUUCGAUAGAGUAGUACUCAGAUGCGACGUGUCUCCAUACACGACGUUAUCUGCUCUUGACUCUUCCGCUGCAAUGUAAAAGUCGAGUUUGCGCUCUUUGUAUCGUGCACUCUGAUAUAUAUUAUUUGAGUUAUUUCAGUUCAA